AGUGAACGCUGGCGGUAGGCCUAACACAUGCAAGUCGAACGGCAGCACAGUAAGAGCUUGCUCUUACGGGUGGCGAGUGGCGGACGGGUGAGGAAUACAUCGGAAUCUACUUUUUCGUGGGGGAUAACGUAGGAAAACUUACGCUAAUACCGCAUACGACCUACGGGUGAAAGCAGGGGAUCUUCGGACCUUGCGCGAUUGAAUGAGCCGAUGUCGGAUUAGCUAGUUGGCGGGGUAAAGGCCCACCAAGGCGACGAUCCGUAGCUGGUCUGAGAGGAUGAUCAGCCACACUGGAACUGAGACACGGUCCAGACUCCUACGGGAGGCAGCAGUGGGGAAUAUUGGACAAUGGGCGCAAGCCUGAUCCAGCCAUACCGCGUGGGUGAAGAAGGCCUUCGGGUUUUAAAGCCCUUUUGUUGGGAAAGAAAAGCAGCAGGUUAAUACCCCGCUGUUCUGACGGUACCCAAAGAAUAAGCACCGGCUAACUUCGUG
rnacentral:rRNA from 1 species